rnacentral:rRNA from 1 species
GACGAACCGUGCGAACGUUAUUCGGAAUCACUGGGCUUAAAGCGCGCGCAGGCGGGGCGGCACGUCGGUCGCUGAAAUCCCCCGGCUCAACCGGGGAACGGGCGCCGAAACGACCGCCCUGGAGGGGCGUAGGGGGAUCGGGAACUUCCGGUGGAGCGGUGAAAUGCGUUGAGAUCGGAAGGAACGCCCGCGGCGAAAGCGCGGUCCUGGACGCCUACUGACGCUGAGGCGCGAAAGCCAGGGGAGCGAACGGG